AUUUCUUCCUUCUUUGUCUCAGACUCUCAUUUCAUUUCUUCAUCAGAGUUGAAGAACAGCGGAGAUGCAAUGGCCAUGAACACGAAGUGCAACCACCAACAACGAUGGCACCCUUUCAACUCUCAACGAUGCCACACAAAACUGGUUAUCUUCUUCCAGUGGUCUUGGUCUUGCAAUCUAAGGCGCUCGAGUUGAGCCACACCCAUUCUUCUCUAUAGUUGUUUCUUUCUUCUUCUUUGGGACUGACUAGUUGGAUUUUAACUUUCUUCUUCCACUCUGUUCCAUGUUCUCGGGUCUAGACAAAGAGAGAAAAAUGGGUUUGAUUAUGGAGAGAGAGACAAAGACAGAGACAGAGACAAAGAGUGUUUAUGCUGAGAACCAACAAAAAAUACCAACCAUGGGCUAUGCCUGUGCUCUGCUUUUGUGUUUGAUUCCAAGUUGAUAUAUAUAUUAUUCAGUAAUUUUUUUUUUUUUUUUUAUGUGUUUCUUUGGUUAUGUUAUGCAUAUGAUUAGAUAAAGAGGAUGAUUAGCAACUUCUGAUUUAUUUGACGGCCAUAUUUAUUUAUUUGUUCGUAAUGCAUUGAUCUCAGAUUUUCUUGAGAAAAUGCAAAAAGAAAGAAGGAUAUUAUUAUUUUUUGUUGGUGGGCUUGUUUGAGGUCAUUUUCCUUUCAAUAAAGUUAUAUGUGUUUUUUAACUUUGGGAUUUUUGUGGUAAGCACCAUUUGUUGCCUUGUGAAAUUCGGGCUAACCCAAGUUCAAAUUAUGAAGCUUGGUCCGGGCUUGAGCAGCCAAGCUCUGUUUGAUGGUCGGACUUGGGCGAGCUUGGACAUUGUCGAACACAAUUCAGGCUAGGCCUGAGCAAACCUCCAACCUGAUCAAACUCGCCCGAGUUGCACCCUUACUUUUACUGCCAUUUCAAUAGUACACUGGCCUCCUUUAGAAAGUUGACUAUUUUAAUUUUUAGUUAUUUUAGUAAGUUAAAAUAUUUGUAUUUAAGAAGAUGAUUAGAUUUUUUUUAUAGUUGAAUGUGAUGUUUAUGAGUGAAAAAAUGAAAUGAUUAUGAAUUUAAUGUGAUAUUUUGUUUUAUUAAUUAUUUUAGUCUAUUUUAUAUUUUUAUGAAUUUUAAUCCCAAAAGUGAAAGAAAAUCCUUUACCAAACAAGGCCAGUGGUAUUGUUUUAUAAAGUUGAUUAAAAGUAAAUUUUUUUAAAAAAAAUUUAUAAAAAAAUAAAGAGAGAAUAUAACUGAAAAAAAUUAAAAAGUUCAAAAAUUUGCUUUUAAGCCAUAGUAAAAGAAGCUUGAGGGCAUUAUUGUGAAGUGAAAAUUUUAAAGAAAAAUUAAAUUUAGAUUCCAAGUAAAGCAAGGGUAAAAUUGUCAUUUAAUUUGGGAAUGGUGGGUGACGGUUGCCGCGUAAAUAUUCGAACACUGAAAAGGUCCAGCCCCCAAUAUAUAUUGCCGCCGAAGACCCUCCAACUUACGCAUAAAAUCUCUCAAAUUCCUUUUUGUAUUUUCCCGAGAAAAUUUUCUUGGGUCUUCCCUAUAUUUCUGGAAUCAUAAUUCUCGGCUACCAAACAACAUGAAGAAAUCAGGGAUCCUUGCCGCAGCGUCCAUGGCCGCAGCUUCAGCCACUGCCAUCUCUUCUUCGCCGUCUUCGUCAACUCCCUCAACCUACUCCAAGUCGCAAAGCUCUCGGGAGGAAGCUGUUUCGAGCAAACAUAGUGAUAAUUAUGUGGCUUCUGCGGAUAAAUUUGCGCCCAGAUUUGAUGGAUUGAGGUUCAUUGAAACAUUGGUCACAGCUCACCGAUAAGCUUGAUUUUGAUGAUCCAUUAGUGUACUCUCUCUCUAUAAAUUGUGACUCUUAAAAUAACUAAAAUUAUCAAGAUUUACAAUGAUUUUGGCAGAUUAUUAGAGAGAGAGAGAGAGAAAGAAAGUGAUGAGUUGAAUUGUACUGUAUUCAGUUGUAUCUUUUUUUUUCUUUUUUUUUUUUUUUUGCGCACUUUUCAUCCCCAACUUAUUUUUUGUUUUGGGAUAGAUGUACUUUUUUUUGAUUUAGGAAUUUCUCCAAAUUUAUUAAGAAAUUAAAGGUUUGUUUGAUUGUUGGAAUUGUGUUAUGAAUUUCAAGAUCUGUUAAUAUAUAAACGAGUUUAUUCAAA